rnacentral:tRNA from 1 species
GAGGGUGUAGCUCAGUGGUAGAGUACAUGCCUAGCAUGUACGAGGUCCUGGGUUCAAUCCCCAGUGCCGCCA